AUGGGCUUCUCCGUGGCCGACGCGGUCAUCCCGGCGUGCGCCGUGGUCGGCAUUGCCUUCGCGCUCUGGCAGUGGUUCCUCGUCGCCAAGGUGAAGGUGUCCGCCUACGCGCCGGCCGGCAACGGCGUACACGGGCGGCCAGUGUUCCGGACGGAGGACGAGGAGGACGCCGGUAUCGGCGGCGGUGGAGGCGGCGAGAGCGACGACGAGGAGGAUGGAGGCGACGGCCCGGCGGCCGUGGCCAGGUGCGCGGAGAUCCAGAACGCCAUUUCAGUCGGAGCAAACUCGUUCCUUUUCACCCAGUACAAGUACCUGGCGGCCUUCACGGUGAUCUUCGCCGUGGUCAUCUUCCUCUUCCUUGGGUCCGUGCACCGGUUCAGCACCGCCAGCCAGCCGUGCCAGUACACCAAGGGCAAGACGUGCAAGCCGGCGCUGGCCAACGCGGUGUUCACCACCAUGGCCUUCCUCCUGGGCGCCGUCACCUCCGUCGUGUCGGGCUUCCUCGGCAUGCGGAUUGCCACGUUCGCCAACGCGAGAACCACACUGGAGGCGCGCCGCGGCAUCGGCGCGGCCUUCGCCACGGCGUUCCGGUCGGGCGCCGUCAUGGGGUUCCUCCUGUCGUCCCUGGGCCUCCUGGUGCUCUACGUCGCCAUCAAGCUCUUUGGGCUCUACUACCACGACGACUGGGAGGGCCUGUACGAGUCCAUCACCGGCUACGGGCUCGGCGGCUCGUCCAUGGCGCUGUUCGGGAGGGUCGGCGGCGGCAUCUACACCAAGGCGGCGGACGUCGGCGCCGACCUCGUCGGGAAGGUGGAGCGGAACAUCCCCGAGGACGACCCGAGGAACCCCGCGGUGAUCGCGGACAAUGUGGGCGACAACGUCGGGGACAUCGCCGGGAUGGGCUCCGACCUGUUCGGGUCCUACGCCGAGUCCACCUGCGCGGCGCUGUUCGUGGCGUCGAUCUCGUCGUUCGGCGCCGACCACGACUUUGCGGCGGUGUGCUACCCCCUGCUGAUAAGCUCGGCGGGGCUUGUGGUCUGCCUGGUCACCACGCUCUUCGCCACCGAUUUCUUCAAGGUCAAGACCGUCCGCGGGGUCGCGCCAGCGCUGAAGCUUCAGCUCAUCAUCUCCACCGCGCUGAUGACCGUGGCGGCCCUCGUCGUCACCUUCGCCGCGCUCCCUGCCAAGUUCACCAUGUUCGAUUUCGGGGAGCAGAAACAGGUCAAGAACUGGCAUGUGUUCUUCUGCGUCGCCAUUGGGUUAUGGGCAGGUCUUGCCAUCGGCUUCACCACAGAGUACUUCACCAGUAAUGCUUACAGCCCUGUUCGGGACGUGGCCGACUCUUGCAGGACCGGCGCGGCGACCAACGUCAUCUUCGGGCUGGCGCUCGGCUACAAAUCCGUCAUCGUGCCCGUGUUAGCCAUCGCCUUGUCAAUCUACGUCAGCUUCACCCUGGCAUCGAUCUACGGCAUCGCCAUCGCCGCGCUCGGGAUGCUCAGCACCGUGGCCACCGGGCUGGCCAUCGACGCGUACGGCCCGAUCAGCGACAACGCCGGAGGCAUCGCGGAGAUGGCCGGCAUGAGCCGCAGGAUCCGGCAGCGGACGGACGCCCUCGACGCCGCGGGCAACACCACCGCGGCCAUCGGCAAGGGGUUCGCCAUCGGCUCGGCGGCGCUGGUGUCGCUGGCGCUGUUCGGCGCGUUCGUGAGCCGCGCGGGCGUCACGGUGAUCAACGUGCUGAGCCCCAAGGUGUUCGCGGGGAUGCUCGCCGGCGGGAUGCUCCCCUACUGGUUCUCGGCGAUGACGAUGAAGAGCGUGGGCAGCGCGGCGCUGAAGAUGGUGGAGGAGGUGCGGCGGCAGUUCAGCACCAUCCCGGGGCUGAUGGAGGGGCGCGCGACGCCGGACUACGCCAGCUGCGUGAGGAUCUCGACGGACGCGUCGCUGAGGGAGAUGAUGCCCCCGGGGGCGCUGGUGCUGCUGGCGCCCCUCGUCGUCGGCACAUUCUUCGGCGUCCACACGCUCGCCGGCCUGCUCGCCGGCGCGCUCGUGUCCGGCGUGCAGGUGGCCAUAUCUGCUUCCAACAGCGGGGGAGCCUGGGACAACGCCAAGAAGUACAUCGAGGCCGGUGCGUCGGAGCACGCCAAGUCCCUGGGUCCCAAGGGUUCGGAGGCGCACAAGGCCGCCGUGAUCGGUGACACCAUCGGGGACCCGCUCAAGGAUACGUCCGGGCCGUCGCUCAACAUCCUCAUCAAGCUCAUGGCCGUCGAGUCGCUGGUCUUCGCGCCAUUCUUCGCGGCUCAUGGAGGCCUCAUAAUCAAAUGA
rnacentral:rRNA from 1 species